GAUGUUUGGAAAAUCAAGUUGAGGUUAUUAUAAAGAAUCAUUGUUGGUUGAGGAAUGAAUGGAAGGCUGUGGAAACAUAAUUGGAGAAAGUUAGAAUUAGAAAGGUAAGAAAUUCUGCAUAAUUUUCGUAGGACCUGUGUUCAGUAAUUAAUAUGUAUCUGUCAAACCGUAACUUGGUUUUGAAUGGUAUUUACAUGUCUGGAAAGCUGACAGAAUUACCUUCGUUAUGGUGUCAAACUCGUGGAAUUUUACUGAGAAUUGAGAUCUGGAGACCAGUUUGAAGUUGAGGGUCUGAUAUGGAAAUUGUGCAGAAAAUUCUGUUUACUGGUCUAAACUGUUUUUGCUGCAAAUUCUGCAUUUCGGCGAGUUCCAGAAAUAUCGGUUGUAUUGUUCAAGCGUCAACUCAGGUGGGUUCCCUUAGAGCCUUAAACUCUAGUUAGUUUAGCCUCAUUAGUUUUCCCAAAAUUUAUGCAUGAUAACAUUAGUCUAGAUAGGAUAAUAGUAUCCCCAAUUUAUGAUAAAAAGUAUGACAACAUUAAGGUUUAGGAUGAAUUAGUGUAUGAGAAGAGCUUAAUCCCAAAGUUCUUCUCCAUUUUAAUCAUUUAAUCCAUUAUAGUGUGCAUAGCUAUUAGAAAGAGGGGUUGUAGGUGAAUUUAUGCAUUGUUUAGCGAGAAUAGCAAAUCAGUCUUUUUAAAAUGCGAUGCUUUCACUCUUUUUAGAUCCGUGGCCCUUCUAGAUAUUUUCUGUGGAUACUGUAAGUACAUUAAAUAAUUAGAAUGUUAAUUACACGUUAGGUACAUGAUAAUCAGGAAAUCAAGACAAGUUAGUAUUACCCCGGGAGGGAAUUCAUGGGCAGGAUAACAAUCAUGAUUAUUAAGUUAAGUCAAGAAAGUCAAUCAAUUAUGGUGGUUACUUAUGUACCACGUUAUGGGAUUCGUUAGAAUCCAAUCAUGUUAUGAUUGUGAGCUUCAGCCGUGUCGAUGUACAUUAUUAUCGCAGACGGACAUGUAAGGCCUCUAAGACCGGCUCACCUCAGAGUGUCUUUGUUAUGAAUAAAACGAACAAGAUAAAUAAUUUGUGUUACACCUUAUGUAUUAUGUUAUGAAAUUAUGUUAUGUAAAUCAUGUUUAGAGAUUGACUAUCAGGAUCAAGGAACAUUAGUUCAUAAGUUGCCCCCGGUGUAGACACCAAUAGUAAUUGGGUAGUAGGAAUCCACUGAGACGAAGUGACUGUCUCAUCCCCCACUUAUUUGAUUUCAGAUAAACAGGUUGAUCGAGAUAUCAUGGUCUGCAAGCCUAGAGUUUCGGAUUAUGCUAGUUGAGCCGACAUCAUGUUAUCUUAUAUUGUGAAUAAGAUUUAGUUUCUUUAUGUUUUCGGUUGUUAGCUCAAUUUAGUAUUAAUCACUUGGAUUUUUGUAAUCCUAUUUAUGUAUUCGGAUGAUAUGUAAUGAAAAUUUAAUGUUUCCCGAUUCAGUUAUGUACACUCUUGUCGAUAUUCUAGAUAAAUUGACAUGGGAUGUUAUAGGCACAGUCUUCGGAUAGGUGACAAUGUCAGUCGGACCCCGAUACGGGCUACACGGUCUGGGGCACGUAUCAGCUCUUGACUAUUGUUGAUCCGGUUACUUUGGAUGACGCAGAGCAUUUCGUUUAGCACCCCCAGGUUCCGUUGAAGCUUUCCAUUUUUGCGUUUUUAUGCGAUUUCUUUUAUUUCUAUAUUUCAUUUUUAUACAGGUUUUUUUUUAUAUUCUUUCUAUAAUUUUUUUAUCAACUAAACUUUCUAUUAUUUUUU
rnacentral:lncRNA from 1 species